GGUUCGAUCAUGGCUCAGAUUGAACGCUGGCGGGAUGCUUUACACAUGCAAGUCGAACGGCAGCACGGACUUCGGUCUGGUGGCGAGUGGCGAACGGGUGAGUAAUGUAUCGGAACGUGCCUAGUAGCGGGGAAUCACAGCAGCUAAUACCGCAUACGCUCCUUCGGGGGAAAGCGGGGGACCUUCGGGCCUCGCACUAUUAGAGCGGCCGGAUAUCGGAUUAGCUAGUUGGUGGGUAACGGCUCACCAAGGCGACGAUCCGUAGCUGGUUUGAGAGGACGACCAGCCACACUGGGACUGAGACACGGCCCAGACUCCUACGGGAGGCAGCAGUGGGGAAUUUUGGAUAAUGGGGGAAACCCUGGAUCCGCCAUCCCCGCGUGUGCGAUGAAGGCUUUGGGUUGUAAAGCACUUUUGGCAGGGAAAGAAACGGCACGGAUAAUACCCCAGGCAACUGACGGUACCUGCAGAAUAAGCACCGGCUAACUACGCGCCAGCAGCCGCGGUAAUACGUAGGUGUGUGUUGUUAAUCGGAAUUACUGGCGUAAAGCGUGCGCAGGCGGUUCGGAAAGAAAGAUGUGAAAUCCAGAGCUUAACUUUGGAACUGCAUUUUUAACUACCGAGCUAGAUGUGCCGGAGGGAGGUGGAAUUCCGCGUGGCAGUGAAAUGCGUAGAUAUGCGGAGAACACCGAUGGCGAAGGCAGCCUCCCUGGGAUAACACUGACGCUCAUGCACGAAAGCGUGGGGAGCAAACAGGAUUAGAUAAUUCUGGUAGUCCACGCCCUAAACGAUGUCUAACUAGCUGUUGGGGCCUUCGGGCCUUGGUAGCGCAGCUAACGCGUGAAGUUGACCGCCUGGGGAGUACGGUCACAAGAUUAAAACUCAAAGGAAUUGACGGGGACCCGCACAAGCGGUGGAUGAUGUGGAUUAAUUCGAUGCAACGCGAGCAAACCUACUCUACCUUGACAUGUCUGGAAUCCCGAAGAGAUUUGGGAGUGCUCGCAAGAGAACCGGAACACAGGUGCUGCAUGGCCGUCGUCAGCUCGUGUCGUGAGAUGUUGGUUGUCCCGCAACGAGCGCAACCCUUGUCAUUAGUUGCUACGAAAGGGCACCUAAUGAGACUGCCGGUGACAAACCGAGGAAGUGGGGAUGACGUCAAGUCCCUCAUGGCCCUUAUGGGUAGGGCUUCACACGCCAAGCACAAUGGUCGGGACAGAGGGUCGCCAACCCGCGAGGGGAGCCAAUCCCAGAAACCCGAUCGUAGUCCGGAUCGCAGUCUGCAACUCGACUGCGUGAAGUCGGAAUCGCUAGUAAUCGAUCAGCAUGUCGGGUGAAUACGUUCCCGGGUCUUGUACACACCGCCCGUCACACCAUGGAGUGGGUUUUACCAGAAGUAGUUAGCCUAACCGUAAGGAGGGAAGAUUACCACGGUAGGAUUCAGCAUGACUGGGGUGGCUGAACAAGGUAG
rnacentral:rRNA from 1 species